rnacentral:tRNA from 1 species
GGGGCUAUAGCUCAGGAGGAUAGAGCGACAGAUUCCUAAUCUGUAGGCCACAGGUUCGAAUCCUGUUAGCCCUACCA